rnacentral:rRNA from 1 species
UACGAAGGGGGCUAGCGUUGCUCGGAAUCACUGGGCGUAAAGCGCACGUAGGCGGAAUGCUAAGUCAGGGGUGAAAUCCUGGAGCUCAACUCCAGAACUGCCCUUGAUACUGGCGGUCUCGAGUCCGGGGGAGGUGAGUGGAACUGCGAGUGUAGAGGUGAAAUUCGUAGAUAUUCGCAAGAACACCAGUGGCGAAGGCGGCUCACUGGCCCGGUACUGACGCUGAGGUGCGAAAGCGUGGGGAGCAAACAGG